CGUCACUGCGCUGUCGACGUCAUCACGUAACUCCUCCCCCACCCCUCCCCGCCACACUGACAGCGAUUUGGGUCCCAGCGGCGUGCGAGGUGAACGUGCAGUCGACUCAAAUAGUUACGGUCUGGGAGGCGUUCCACGGGCAGCGUCUGCUUCUUCUUACCGCAAUGAUUCAAGGGCAGUAUGCAGGUCCUCCGCCUGCAUACAGCCAACAGGGGUACCCGCAGGGACCCCAGCCAGGGUACCCGCAGGGACCCCAGCCAGGGUACCCGCAGGGACCCCAGCCAGGGUACCCGCAGGGACCUCAGCCGGGGUACCCACAGGGACCUCAACCGGGGUACCCACAGGACCCUGGCUAUGCUGGGCAAGGCUACGGAUACCCUCCACAGACGGUUGUAGUGAUGCAGGAGGCACCUCGAAGUGAAGAUUCCUGCCUCACCGGCUGUAUGGCUGCGCUGUGUUGCUGCUGCCUGUGGGACAUGCUCACCUAGUCACUCACCUAGUCACUCACCUAGUCACUCACCUAGUCACUCACACAGUCACUCACACAGUCACUCACCUAGUCACUCACACAGACACU